rnacentral:rRNA from 1 species
CGUGGUACAGGAUGGGCCCGCGUCUGAUUAGCUGGUUGGCAGGGUAACGGCCUACCAAGGCGACGAUCAGUAGCCGGCCUGAGAGGGCGGACGGCCACACUGGGACUGAGACACGGCCCAGACUCCUACGGGAGGCAGCAG